CACACUCUGAGUUUCUGAGAGUAAGCCACUGUCAGUUCCUGGGGUGAGCCACCAGCCACAUGGACACAAUUUCCUCUUUUUGAUGGAAAUGUUUUCUUCCAAAUUGUGCUGCACGUUUUUGGCGAGAGCAUGGGGCUGUGCGGCGUCCCCUCCCUGGCGCCCACCUGUGCCCUGCACACUGGCCUGCACUGUGGUGAUCUCGCUUGGCCCCCACCUGAUUCC
rnacentral:lncRNA from 1 species